GAAAGCGGAAGCGGAAGGAAGGGGGCGUGGCCUCCGAGGCUUCUUGGCUGAGUCGAGGGCCUGGGCAUUGUGCAUGAAGCCCACCACAUCGUCCAGACUCCAGCACAGGGCAUCUGCCAACAGAACCAGUGACUCAUCAAAGUACUCAGCCACCAUGACCAGGUCAAAGACUGAGUCCAACCAGGCCAGACCCCACUGGAUAAAGGAUGAGGGCCUAAAAUCUGAGGAGACAAGGCUGGCUGGCUGCUUGUAACUAUUAGCAGCUGUGGUAAUAGGAUGGAAGAGAGUUCCAGGGCUAGCACCGGAAGGAGAAGGCAGAGCGGGCUAGAGCCGCUGGAUCUCGGACAAUGGAAAAGAAGAAGCUAUCAGAAGGCAUGACCUGAAGUACCUGCAGAGGAAAGAAAGAGAGGAAGAGCUUGACUGAGGAGAAAAUGAGGCCAAGCUGAGGCUCUGAUGAGCCGUGAGGCUCUGCUGUCCACCCCCAGCUUCCCCUACUAGCUGUGUGACCUUGGGGAAAUUACAUAGCACCUCUGAAAUUCAAUUUGCUGUCUGCAAAAGGAAAGUAGUCAGAAGUUCCCAGGUAAUUGAGGAGAAUACUCAAAAUAACAGCCAGUCAGAAAUCUGGAGCACAAGGCUCACACUGCUUAGUCAUGUCCUCGGGAUUUUGUGUUCUUUGUUGGUUGGGAAAAACUCUCAAACCUGGGGCUGGGAAGGUGGCUCAGUCAAUAAAGUGUGUGCCACACAAACG
rnacentral:lncRNA from 1 species